rfam:Schistosoma mansoni, Puerto Rico, WGS project CABG01000000 data, contig: 0013
AUCCAGUUGACGAGUCCCGAAUAAGAUGAAACGCGUGUCCUGGAU